rnacentral:rRNA from 4 species
GGGUUGUGAGGUUAAGCGACUAAGCGUACACGGUGGAUGCCCUGGCAGUCAGAGGCGAUGAAGGGCGUGCUAAUCUGCGAUAAGCGCCGGUAAGGUGAUAUGAACCGUUAUAACCGGCGAUACCCGAAUGGGGAAACCCAGUGUGACUCGUCACACUAUCAUUAACUGAAUCCAUAGGUUAAUGAGGCGAACCGGGGGAACUGAAACAUCUAAGUACCCCGAGGAAAAGAAAUCAACCGAGAUUCCCCCAGUAGCGGCGAGCGAACGGGGAGGAGCCCAGAGCCUGAAUCAGCAUGUGUGUUAGUGGAAGCGUCUGGAAAGGCGCGCGAUACAGGGUGACAGCCCCGUACACAAAAGCGCAUGUGCUGUGAGCUCGAUGAGUAGGGCGGGACACGUG